GACGAACGCUGGCGGCGUGCUUAACACAUGCAAGUCGAACGCUGAAGCUUGGUGCUUGCACUGGGUGGAUGAGUGGCGAACGGGUGAGUAAUACGUGAGUAACCUGCCCUUGACUCUGGGAUAAGCCUGGGAAACUGGGUCUAAUACUGGAUACGACAUGCCACUGCAUGGUGGUGUGUGGAAAGGGUUUUACUGGUUUUGGAUGGGCUCACGGCCUAUCAGCUUGUUGGUGGGGUAAUGGCCUACCAAGGCGACGACGGGUAGCCGGCCUGAGAGGGUGACCGGCCACACUGGGACUGAGACACGGCCCAGACUCCUACGGGAGGCAGCAGUGGGGAAUAUUGCACAAUGGGCGGAAGCCUGAUGCAGCGACGCCGCGUGAGGGAUGACAGCCUUCGGGUUGUAAACCUCUUUCAGCACGGAAGAAGCGAGAGUGACGGUACGUGCAGAAGAAGCGCCGGCUAACUACGUG
rnacentral:rRNA from 1 species